UCUCCGUUGGUGAACCAGCGGAGGGAUCAUUACUGGAAUCGCAAGAUCCCACAACCCUGUGAACCUACCGAAGCGUUGCCUCGGCGGGUGCCUGGCCUCUGCGCCGGGCGCUGCGCCCGCCGGCGGCCCCCUACUCUGUCUCUGCAGCGUGGCAUCUCAGAGUCCCAGAAAACAAGUCAAAACUUUCAACAACGGAUCUCUUGGCUCUA
rnacentral:misc_RNA from 1 species